rnacentral:lncRNA from 1 species
GAAUACAGCUCUGGUUAUAGAUCACUGCUGGUAAUAUCUUUUCUCCUUUCUAGGUCCAAACCACUUCAGUUUUGUCACGUGAAUUUCUGUAUCAUAUCUGUUUGAAGUCUGACUCUGCACAUGAUAAAAAUUUUGUAGCUUCUUUGUGACACGUCUUUGGUGAUCUCAGUGAUCUUGAGAGGUUUUCCAGAUGUUUCUCUCCUCCUCCAGACUCUCCCAACGACUUCAGCAGACAUCUAGGUCUGAGUGUUAUGUUGAAGAUUUACUUCAUACAAAAAAAAGAAAGAAAAGGAAAAGAAGAAAGGUGAGUCUGGUAUGAUGGUAUGAUUUCAGAAGCAUAGGUUUCAAGAAUUUGUGAUGAGAUAAAGAAGUAUAGAGAAAUACUGAUGCAGCUUUACCAAUAGACCAUGAGUGUAAUGCAGAUUCUAAAAUGAUGAUGAAGGAACAGCAACAGUAUAAAAGCAAAAUUUUAGUGAUAAUCUGAA